GCGCGAUUAGCUCAGCGGGAGAGCGCUUCCCUGACACGGAAGAGGUCACUGGUUCAAUCCCAGUAUCGCGCACCC
rnacentral:tRNA from 3 species